ACUAUUUAUAUUCACUCAAAGAAAGGGGUUCUCCGUUACUGGGAAAAUCUUAUCUGAUUCAGGAUCAAUUUAUCGGUUACACUCCCCUAUCACCAGUGAUUCUUUGUUGUAAGCUGACAUUCUGAAAAAAGGUAUACUGUUGACUAUCAAUUUGCACGAUUAGUUACAGAUGUCGACUCGGACUACUGCAAAAGACAAUAAUUCAGUUCACUGAUUUAGAUUGAAUAGUGGUUCGGUUAAUCCCCUCUUCCCCAAACAAGGCAAGGACAUUAAAGAUAAAGGGAAACUAUAAACAAAAGAAAUUAUCAACAAAAAUAGAUUUACAGACGUCAACAAAGCCUAAAUGGUCAGACAUCUUGGUUUUCAUGAUCAUCAUUCAACAAGUCAAUACUGAACAGAAAACUUAAAGUUGAUAUUUUUCUACAUAGUGUGACUUUUUUAUUAAUUUGAAAUGGAAUGUGUUUUUUUCCUACAUAAGAAAGAGGAAAUUUCAUCAUAAUGACUAUAAACAAAAAGGCGUCAUAUCAUCAUGAUCAUAGAUGCACAAGAACUUAAUCAUGUAAAUGCAACAACGUAAUUAUCAAUUGAAAGAAGGGAGGAAUGAAAAAAUAUAUUAGUAUUUUGUUGUCCAAAUGAACUUGCUUUGUCCACUCAUUUAAAUCGCUCCAUCCAAUAAAGAUGUACGGUGGAAGAUUUUUGAAGAACAGAUUGCAAAAGAGGUUUUGUCUUAGAAUUGUAGGAAUAUUCUAGUGGAUGAAAUAAUUUAUUUACUUCACUCUUAUAUAGUGGACUGAAUAAUUGUACAUAGCAAGCUGAAACAAGAAAAACUAAAACUUAACAGGAAAAGUGUUUAUUUUAUAAAUUUGCAAAUAUAAACGUAAUAUUAUGAACACCACAAAGGUAUAAGAUUCAAAUCGUUUGCAUAUUCAUGUAUUGAAAUGGAACUAUAACAAAGAAAACUUUAACUCAUGAAAAGAGUAAACUAUUUACUGUGCUUUGUCAAUUUAUUCAGUCAGAAUAUGAAAUAUUUUUUUCAGUUCUAUUUUUCAUAAUAAAACAAACAAGACAAAGAUUUCAAAUCAAUAUUUUUUUCUUUUAUUAAGACAUGUCAUCAUUUUAUUUCAGUUAAAGGAUUUUAUUUUUUGACUUUAAAUAGUAUUAUACUUUCCAAAAUAAUAAUAAUCUUUAUUGUCAUAUAAACAAAUUAAAAACAUGUUUGUGACAAAAUGAAAAAAACCAAAAUACACUCAUACAUGUCAUAUAUAUAUUAUAAACUUUUUACUACCAAACAGAAUUCAUUGUAACAUACACAUUACUGUAUAUUUAUAAUUUGAAUUCCAUAGGAUUUUAUUUUGUCCCAUGGGAUAUUAAAAAUCCCAUGGGAUAAUUAUAGUCCCAUGGGAUUUUUUUUGUCCCAUGGGACAACAAAUAUCCCAUGGGACUACAAUUAUCCCAUGGGACCCAAAAAAAUCCUAUGGGAUUUAACCAAAAUCCCAUGGGAUAAUGGUCAAUCCCAUGGGAUUUGCCGUAUCCCAUGGGAUAUUGAAAAUCCCAUGUUUUUCUAAAUCAAAU